CCCCCAGAAAUGUUUGAAUAUUUCUAUACCCCCACGUUAUAGCCCAUUCAAUAAUAUUAACAAUAAAUUUACCACUGAAAAGCCAUCUAAAUAAGAAAAGAAAUUCUUAUAGUCUGCUCACAUCCUUGUCUUAAUGUCUAUCACAAAGUCAGUAUGUCUGAUAUUUGCCCAUUUUUUUAAGGCAUGACAUCAUAUUUCCAACUAUCUGUCUCAGAGGCUGUUGUUGUUCACACAUGGUUGCGCGAAAAAGAGUUUAACACUCCAACAGCACCCUCACCACAUGAAAGGCAAGAAAUCAAAUGUCAUGGAAUGGGUACUCCAACUCUUGACGCUUCUCAUUGGAAUUCGAAGGAUAUAGAAGAAAAUAUAUAUUGAAUAUUAAAAAAGGAAAUAUUGUUUAAACGCGUGUCGAAUUUGAAUCCUUUAUGCUUUGGGAGAAGAACAAAAACUGAAACGAAGGCAAGCCAAGAAUACGCACAAACAACGAAGGACAUCAAUACAAAACUAUCAACAUCAUCAAUAUGAAUAAAUGGAAGCUAGCAAAGGAUAUAACGGCUGUAUGUAAAGCAAGCCCGCAGAGGCUGUAAUGUUAUGGAAUUGCGAUGGCAUUUGAAUUCGAGUUUGUGUGUUGGCUGUUGGAAAAGCAUCCUGGGGUUUUUCGGGGUUUGAGUUUUGUGGCUGCUGAGGGGCAUGAGAUAUUUGCAUAUGGCGUCAUGGUUAUAAUUCUUCAAAAGCUUUACUCCUCCUUGUGGAGUUAUUGCUGUAGUAUUGAUGGCGUCGUUCGUUUCUUGGCAUUUCUAUUGCCAUAUUCGAAAUCCUCGACAAUUUCCAAAUGUCAAAUUUUAUGAUAUUUUAAGAUUUUUUUUUUUUUUCGUUUUGAACAAAAUUUAUGGCCUUUCUGGGAAUUGGUGGAAUGGGUAUGAUAUGGUGAAUAAGUGAAAUAAGGCAUGGUAUGUGUAUAUACAUGGGACUUAAAAACUUCUUGGAGCUUCUUAUUUCUCAUAGAGAAUCAUGCCACUUACAUUAGACCAAAUCAUGGAAGCGUGAUCUUUUAUAAACCACACUUGGGGCCAUAAAGUGGUAGUGAAAUAAAGCUUUAUUGAAAAUAUAUUUUGAAAUAUCCAGA
rnacentral:sRNA from 1 species